rnacentral:rRNA from 1 species
GAAUUCGCCCUUAGAGUUUGAUCCUGGCUCAGGAUGAACGCUGGCGGCGUGCCUAACACAUGCAAGUCGAACGGAGUUCUUAAGGAAUGCGACUUCGGUCAAAUGACUUUUGAACUUAGUGGCGGACGGGUGAGUAACGCGUGAGCAACCUGCCUUUCAGAGGGGGAUAACAUUUGGAAACAGAUGCUAAUACCGCAUAAGAUUACAGUACCGCAUGAUACAGUGAUCAAAGGAGCAAUCCGCUGAAAGAUGGGCUCGCGUCCGAUUAGAUAGUUGGUGAGGUAACGGCUCACCAAGUCGACGAUCGGUAGCCGGACUGAGAGGUUGAACGGCCACAUUGGGACUGAGACACGGCCCAGACUCCUACGGGAGGCAGCAGUGGGGAAUAUUGCACAAUGGGCGAAAGCCUGAUGCAGCAACGCCGCGUGAGGGAAGACGGUUUUCGGAUUGUAAACCUCUGUUUUCGGUGACGAACAAAUGACGGUAACCGAGUAGGAAGCCACGGCUAACUACGUGCCAGCAGCCGCGGUAAUACGUAGGUGGCAAGCGUUAUCCGGAAUUACUGGGUGUAAAGGGAGCGCAGGCGGGAUAGCAAGUCAGCUGUGAAAACUAUGGGCUCAACCCAUAAACUGCAGUUGAAACUGUUAUUCUUGAGUGGAGUAGAGGCAAGCGGAAUUCCGAGUGUAGCGGUGAAAUGCGUAGAUAUUCGGAGGAACACCAGUGGCGAAGGCGGCUUGCUGGGCUCUAACUGACGCUGAGGCUCGAAAGUGUGGGGAGCAAACAGGAUUAGAUACCCUGGUAGUCCACACUGUAAACGAUGAUUGCUAGGUGUGGGGGGUCUGACCCCCUCCGUGCCGGAGUUAACGCAAUAAGCAAUCCACCUGGGGAGUACGGCCGCAAGGUUGAAAAUCAAAGGAAUUGACGG